CCUCAGUAACGGCGAGUGAAGCGGCAACAGCUCAAAUUUGAAAUCUGGCCCUAGGCCCGAGUUGUAAUUUGCAGAGGAUGUUUCUGGCGAGGUGCCUUCCGAGUGCCCUGGAACGGGACGCCAUAGAGGGUGAGAGCCCCGUACGGUUGGUCGCUAAGCCUCUGUGAAACUCCUUCGACGAGUCGAGUAGUUUGGGAAUGCUGCUCUAAAUGGGAGGUAUACGUCUUCUAAAGCUAAAUACCGGCCAGAGACCGAUAGCGCACAAGUAGAGUGAUCGAAAGAUGAAAAGCACUUUGAAAAGAGGGUUAAACAGUACGUGAAAUUGUUGAAAGGGAAGCGCUCAUGACCAGACUUGGGCCGGUUGAUCAUCCGCCGUUCUCGGCGGUGCACUCUGCCGGCUCAGGCCAGCAUCAGUUUGGUCCGGGGGAUAAAGGUGUAGGGAAUGUGGCUCCCCCCGGGGAGUGUUAUAGCCCUGCGCGUAAUACCCUGGACUGGACUGAGGUUCGCGCAUCUGCAAGGAUGCUGGCGUAAUGGUUAUCAGUGACCCGUCUUGAAACACGGACCAAGGAGUCGUCUUCGUAUGCGAGUGUUCGGGUGUCAAACCCCUACGCGUAAUGAAAGUGAACGUAGGAGAGAGCUUCGGCGCAUCUCCGACCGAUCCUGAUGUUCUCGGAUGGAUUUGAGUAAGAGCAUACGGGGCCGGACCCGAAAGAAGGUGAACUAUGNNUGUAUAGGGUGAAGCCAGAGGAAACUCUGGUGGAGGCUCGNNNNGGUUCUGACGUGCAAAUCGAUCGUCAAAUAUGGGCAUGGGGGCGAAAGACUAAUCGAACCUUCUAGUAGCUGGUUUCCGCCGAAGNUCCCCUCAGGAA
rnacentral:rRNA from 1 species